rnacentral:rRNA from 1 species
GGGCCACCGUUUGUUGAGUGCAAAUAUGGGAUGACUGUUUUUGCCGGCUUCACUGUCGGCUUAUAAGGGUUAUCAAAUAUCACUUUGAUUAAAUUAGAGUGGCUCAAAGCAAGGUGGGGUUACUUGGAUAAUAAAUGCAUGGAAUGAUGGGAAUACGUUGGUUGUUCUAUUUUGGUCGGUUUUUGAACGAUGAAAUGAUUGAAAGGAACCGUUGGGGGCAUUCGUAUUGUUGUGAGAGAGGUGAAAUUCUUAGACCACAGCAAGACGAACUACUGCGAAAGCAUUUGCCAAGAAUGUUUUCAUUGAUCAAGAACGAAAGUUAGAGGUUCGAAGGCGAUCAGAUACCGCCCUAGUUCUAACCAUAAACUAUGCCAACUAGCAAUCUGCUUAUAUAUGUUCUAUGAUUAAGUAGGCGGCCACGGGAAACCAAAGUAGGGUUAUGGGGGAAGUAUGGUUGCAAAGCUGAAACUUAAAGGAAUUGACGGAAGGGCACCACCAGGAGUGGAGCCUGCGGCUUAAUUUGACUCAACACGGGAAAACUUACCUGGUCCUGACACUAGAAGGAUUGACAGAUUGAUAGCUCUUUCUUGAUUUGGUGGAUGGUGGUGCAUGGCCGUUCUUAGUUGGUGGAGUGAUUUGUCUGGUUAAUUCCGAUAACGAACGAGACUCUAGCCUAUUAAAUAACACACAGAAUCUUGUCUUCUGUGGUGUUUCUUAAUGGGAUCAAGUG